rnacentral:rRNA from 1 species
CACGUAGGCACCAAGCGUUGUCCGGAUUUAUUGGGCGUAAAGAGCUCGUAGGCGGUUCGGUAAGUCGGGUGUGAAAACUUUGGGCUCAACCCAAAGCGUGCACUCGAUACUGCCAUGACUAGAGUUCGGUAGGGGAGUGGGGAAUUCCUAGUGUAGCGGUGAAAUGCGCAGAUAUUAGGAGGAACACCGGUGGCGAAGGCGCCACUCUGGGCCGAAACUGACGCUGAGGAGCGAAAGCGUGGGGAGCGAACGGG